rnacentral:rRNA from 1 species
AGCGAACGCUGGCGGCAGGCCUAACACAUGCAAGUCGAACGAACUCUUCGGAGUUAGUGGCGGACGGGUGAGUAACACGUGGGAACGUGCCUUUAGGUUCGGAAUAACUCAGGGAAACUUGUGCUAACACCGAAUGUGCCCUUCGGGGGAAAGAUUUAUCGCCUUUAGAGCGGCCCGCGUCCGAUUAGCCAGUUGGUGAGGUAAAGGCUCACCAAGGCGACGAUCAGUAGCUGGUCUGAGAGGAUGAUCAGCCACAUUGGGACUGAGACACGGCCCAAACUCCUACGGGAGGCAGCAGUGGGGAAUCUUGCGCAAUGGGCGAAGGCCUGACGCAGCCCUGCCGCGUGAAUGAUGAAGGUCUUAGGAUUGUAAAAUUCUUUCACCGGGGACGAUAAUGACGGUACCCGGAGAAGAAGCCCCGGCUAACUUCGUG